rnacentral:rRNA from 1 species
AACGGCCGUACCAUGCUGAAUAUACCGGUUCUCGUUAGAUCACCGAAGUCAAGCAUCAUUGGGCGCGGUCAGUACUUGGGUGGGUGACCACCUGGGAACACUGCGUGGCGU